rnacentral:rRNA from 1 species
UGGCUCAGAACGAACGUUGGCGGCGUGCUUAAUACAUGCAAGUCGUACGAGAAAGCACUUCGGGUGUGAGUAGAGUGGCGCACGGGUGAGUAAUGCAUAGAUAAUCUGCCUUUUAGCGGGGGAUAACCUUUCGAAAGAGGGGCUAAUACCGCAUAAGACCACAGUGAUUUUUUCACAGUGGCCAAAGGUGCCUUAGUUUUCGGUACCGCUAAAAGAUGAGUCUAUGUCCCAUUAGCUUGUUGGUAGGGUAAAGGCCUACCAAGGCGACGAUGGGUAGCUGGUCUGAGAGGAUGAUCAGUCACACUGGAACUGAGACACGGUCCCGACUCCUACGGGAGGCAGCAGUAGGGAAUUUUGCGCAAUGGACGAAAGUCUGACGCAGCAACGCCGCGUGAGGGAUGAAGGGUUUCGGCUCGUAAACCUCUGUUGAGUAGGAAGAAACGUCAUGGGGUUAAUACCCUCAUGGCCUGACGGUACUACUCGAGGAAGCUCCGGCUAACUACGUGCCAGCAGCCGCGGUAAUACGUAGGGGGCGAGCGUUGUUCGGAAUCACUGGGCGUAAAGGGAGCGUAGGCGGGAAGGUAAGUCAGAAGUCUAACACAUGGGCUUAACCCAUGUCCGGCUUUUGAUACUGCUUUUCUUGAGUAUGGGAGAGGAAGAUGGAAUUCCAGGUGUAGCGGUGGAAUGCGUAGAUAUCUGGAAGAACACCAGUUGCGAAGGCGGUCUUCUGGCCCAAUACUGACGCUGAGGCUCGAAAGCUAGGGGAGCAAACAGGAUUAGAUACCCUGGUAGUCCUAGCCAUAAACGAUGGACACUAGUUGGUGGAGGGAGUCAAUCUUUUCACUGACGAAGUUAACGCAUUAAGUGUCCCGCCUGGGGAGUACGCCCGCAAGGGUGAAACUCAAAGGAAUUGACGGGGGCCCGCACAAGCGGUGGAGCAUGUGCUUUAAUUCGAUGCAACGCGAAGAACCUUACCUGGGUUUGACAUGGGGAUGAAACUCUCCAGAGAUGGAGAGCCUUCCUUCGGGAACAUCCUACACAGGUGCUGCAUGGUUGUCGUCAGCUCGUGUCGUGAGAUGUUGGGUUAAGUCCCGCAACGAGCGCAACCCUCGUCCUUAGUUGCCAUCAGGUAAUGCUGGGAACUCUAGGGAGACUGCCUGGUCACAACCAGGAGGAAGGUGAGGAUGACGUCAAAUCAUCAUGGCUCUUACGCCCAGGGCUAGACACGUGCUACAGUGGUUGGUACAAUGGGAUGCCACACUGCGAAGUGGAGCAAACCCCAAAAAACCAACCUCAGUUCAGAUUGGAGUCUGCAAUUCGACUCCAUGAAGGUGGAAUCGCUAGUAAUCGCGGAUCAGCAUGCCGCGGUGAUACGUUCCCGGGCAUUGUACACACCGCCCGUCAAGCCAUGAAAGGUGGGAGUGCCCAAAGUCGUGGCUCCAACCGC